rnacentral:rRNA from 1 species
GACGAACGCUGGCGGCGUGCUUAACACAUGCAAGUCGAACGGAAAGGCCCUGCUUUUGUGGGGUGCUCGAGUGGCGAACGGGUGAGUAACACGUGAGUAACCUGCCCUUGACUUUGGGAUAACUUCAGGAAACUGGGGCUAAUACCGGAUAGGAGCUCCUGCUGCAUGGUGGGGGUUGGAAAGUUUCGGCGGUUGGGGAUGGACUCGCGGCUUAUCAGCUUGUUGGUGGGGUAGUGGCUUACCAAGGCUUUGACGGGUAGCCGGCCUGAGAGGGUGACCGGCCACAUUGGGACUGAGAUACGGCCCAGACUCCUACGGGAGGCAGCAGGGGGGAAUAUUGCACAAUGGGCGGAAGCCUGAUGCAGCAACGCCGCGUGCGGGAUGACGGCCUUCGGGGUUGUAAACCGCUUUCGCCUGUGACGAAGCGUGAGUGACGGUAAUGGGUAAAGAAGCACCGGCUAACUACGUG